AACGAACGCUGGCAGCAGGCUUAACACAUGCAAGUCGAGCGCCCCGCAAGGGGAGCGGCAGACGGGUGAGUAACGCGUGGGAAUCUACCCAUCUCUACGGAAUAACGCAUGGAAACGUGUGCUAAUACCGCAUACGUCCUUCGGGAGAAAGAUUUAUCGGAGAUGGAUGAGCCCGCGUUGGAUUAGCUAGUUGGUGGGGUAAAGGCCUACCAAGGCGACGAUCCAUAGCUGGUCUGAGAGGAUGAUCAGCCACACUGGGACUGAGACACGGCCCAGACUCCUACGGGAGGCAGCAGUGGGGAAUAUUGGACAAUGGGCGCAAGCCUGAUCCAGCCAUGCCGCGUGAGUGAUGAAGGCCCUAGGGUUGUAAGGCUCUUUCACCGGUGAAGAUAAUGACGGUAACCGGAGAAGAAGCCCCGGCUAACUUCGUGCCAGCCGCCGCGGUAACAC
rnacentral:rRNA from 1 species